rnacentral:rRNA from 1 species
UUAGGAAUAUUGGGCAAUGGGCGCAAGCCUGACCCAGCCAUGUCGCGUGAGUGAAGAAGGCCUUCGGGUUGUAAAGCUCUUUCGCUUGUGAAGAUGAUGACUGUAGCAAGUAAAGAAGCACCGGCUAACUUCGUGCCAGCAGCCGCGGUAAUACGAAGGGUGCAAGCGUUGUUCGGAAUUACUGGGCGUAAAGCGCAUGUAGGCGGUUUGUUAAAUUAGAGGUGAAAUCCCAGGGCUCAACCUUGGAAUUGCCUUUAAGACUGGCAGACUCGAGUCUAAGAGAGGAUAGCGGAAUACCUAGUGUAGAGGUGAAAUUCGUAGAUAUUAGGUAGAACACCAGUGGCGUAGGCGGCUAUCUGGCUUAUGACUGACGCUGAGAUGCGAAAGCGUGGGGAGCGAACA